GAUGAACGCUGGCGGCGUGCCUAAUACAUGCAAGUCGAGCGAACGGACGAGAAGCUUGCUUCUCUGAUGUUAGCGGCGGACGGGUGAGUAACACGUGGAUAACCUACCUAUAAGACUGGGAUAACUUCGGGAAACCGGAGCUAAUACCGGAUAAUAUUUUGAACCGCAUGGUUCAAAAGUGAAAGACGGUCUUGCUGUCACUUAUAGAUGGAUCCGCGCUGCAUUAGCUAGUUGGUAAGGUAACGGCUUACCAAGGCAACGAUGCAUAGCCGACCUGAGAGGGUGAGCGGCCACACUGGAACUGAGACACGGUCCAGACUCCUACGGGAGGCAGCAGUAGGGAAUCUUCCGCAAUGGGCGAAAGCCUGACGGAGCAAAGCCGCGUGAGUGAUGAAGGUCUUCGGAUCGUAAAACUCUGUUAUUAGGGAAGAACAUAUGUGUAAGUAACUGUGCACAUCUUGAAGGUACCUAAUCAGAAAGCCACGGCUAACUAAGUG
rnacentral:rRNA from 1 species